rnacentral:rRNA from 1 species
GAUGAACGCUGGCGGCGUGCCUAACACAUGCAAGUCGAGCGAGAACUUAUGUAAAGAAACUUCGGUAGAUUUACAAAAGGGAAAGCGGCGGACGGGUGAGUAACGCGUAGGCAACCUGCCCCAUACAGGGGGAUAGCCACCGGAAACGGUGAUUAAUACCUCAUAAAGCAUAGAUAACACAUGUUAAAGAUGUCAAAGAGAAUUCGGUAUGGGAUGGGCCUGCGUCUGAUUAGUUAGUUGGUGAGGUAACGGCUCACCAAGGCGACGAUCAGUAGCCGACCUGAGAGGGUAGGCGGCCACAUUGGAACUGAGACACGGUCCAGACUCCUACGGGAGGCAGCAGUGGGGAAUAUUGCACAAUGGGCGAAAGCCUGAUGCAGCAACGCCGUGUGAAUGAAGAAGGCCUUAGGGUCGUAAAAUUCUGUCCUAAGGGAAGAAAAAGAUGACGGUACCUUAGGAGGAAGCCCCGGCUAACUACGUGCCAGCAGCCGCGGUAAUACGUAGGGGGCAAGCGUUAUCCGGAAUUAUUGGGCGUAAAGAGUACGUAGGUGGCUAUAUAAGCGCAUGGUGAAAGGCAGAGGCUUAACCACUGUUAGCCUUGCGAACUGUAUAGCUUGAGUGCAGGAGAGGGAGGCGGAAUUCCUAGUGUAGCGGUGAAAUGCGUAGAUAUUAGGAGGAACACCAGUGGCGAAGGCGGCUUUCUGGACUGUAACUGACACUGAGGUACGAAAGCGUGGGGAGCAAACAGG